AACGAACGCUGGCGGCAGGCUUAACACAUGCAAGUCGAACGGUAAGGCCCCUUCGGGGGUACACGAGUGGCAAACGGGUGAGUAACACGUGAGCAACCUACCCUUGCCACUGGAAUAACAGUUGGAAACAGCUGCUAAUGCCGGAUAUGACCUUCGGUGACAUCACCUGGAGGUGGAAAGUGCUUAGCGGUCAAGGAUGGGCUCGCGGCCUAUCAGCUUGUUGGUGAGGUAACGGCUCACCAAGGCUUCGACGGGUAGCCGGCCUGAGAGGGCGACCGGCCACACUGGGACUGAGAUACGGCCCAGACUCCUACGGGGGGCAGCAGUGGGGAAUAUUGCACAAUGGGCGCAAGCCUGAUGCAGCAACGCCGCGUGCGGGAUGACGGCCUUCGGGUUGUAAACCGCUUUCAGUUCCGACGAAGCGCAAGUGACGGUAGGAACAGAAGAAGGACCGGCCAACUACGUGCCAGCAGCCGCAGUAAUAC
rnacentral:rRNA from 1 species